GUGAACGCUGGCGGUAGGCCUAACACAUGCAAGUCGAACGGCAGCACAGUAAGAGCUUGCUCUUACGGGUGGCGAGUGGCGGACGGGUGAGGAAUACAUCGGAAUCUACUUUUUUGUGGGGGAUAACGUAGGGAAACUUACGCUAAUACCGCAUACGACCUACGGGUGAAAGCAGGGGAUCUUCGGACCUUGCGCGAUUGAAUGAGCCGAUGUCGGAUUAGCUAGUUGGCGGGGUAAAGGCCCACCAAGACGACGAUCCGUAGCUGGUCUGAGAGGAUGAUCAGCCACACUGGAACUGAGACACGGUCCAGACUCCUACGGGAGGCAGCAGUGGGGAAUAUUGGACAAUGGGCGCAAGCCUGAUCCAGCCAUACCGCGUGGGUGAAGAAGGCCUUCGGGUUGUAAAGCCCUUUUGUUGGGAAAGAAAAGCAGCAGGUUAAUACCCCGCUGUUCUGACGGUACCCAAAGAAUAAGCACCGGCUAACUUCGUG
rnacentral:rRNA from 1 species